rnacentral:rRNA from 1 species
AUUGAACGCUGGCGGCAUGCUUUACACAUGCAAGUCGAACGGUAACAGGGUGCUUGCACCGCUGACGAGUGGCGAACGGGUGAGUAAUGCGUCGGAACGUGCCGAGUAGUGGGGGAUAACGCAGCGAAAGUUGUGCUAAUACCGCAUACGUACUGAGGUAGAAAGUGGGGGACCUUCGGGCCUCACGCUAUUCGAGCGGCCGACGUCUGAUUAGCUAGUAGGUGAGGUAAAGGCUCACCUAGGCGACGAGCAGUAGCGGGUCUGAGAGGAUGAUCCGCCACACUGGGACGAGGACACGGCCCGACCUCCUUCGGGAGGCAGCAGUGGGGAAUUUUGGACAAUGGGCGAAAGCCUGAUCCAGCCAUGCCGCGUGUCUGAAGAAGGCCUACGGGUUGUAAAGGACUUUUGUCAGGGAGGAAAUCCCCAGUGCUAAUAACACUGGGGGAUGACAGUACCUGAAGAAUAAGCACCGGCUAACUACGUGCCAGCAGCAGCCGCGG